GUGCUCGCUUCGGCAGCACAUAUAGUAAAAUUGGAACAGUACAGAGAAGAUCAGCAUGGCCCCUGCACAAGGGUGACAUGCACAUUCGUGAAGCGUUCCGUAUCUUG
ensembl:snRNA U6 U6 spliceosomal RNA